UACCAUUUUUUUGUUUUUGUUUUUCGACCUCAGGCCACGCGUGUGUGUGUGUGGUUGCCUACAAGAACGGACCUUCAUCGCGACGUAAAACAGAGCAAUCCGUGGGUGGUUAGCACGACCCAAAUAUUUUGAGCCGUACAGCGACAGGGCACCAGCCGUUGCGCUGAUACCAAGGUAGCGGUUCUAGUACCGUCGCUUCACCAGUUCGACAAGCUGCACAACACAGUGGUAAAAAAGUCUGAAGUCUCUCAUUGUAUAUAGUACCACCGGGCCGAAGACUCGUUCGUCACCUGUCAACUGUACAAGAACGGCCUGGCUCACUUUCACUCGUCAUGUUCAUUCGCGCAACACUGUACGUCUGCGCAACCUCUACUACCUUUUUCUUGUCCUCUAGUUUUACAAGUCUACUUCCUGCACGCACGGUCGUUGAUCCUUCUGUCGACGUUACGUAGCUCUACUAGACUUGUAAUACGUGUGAUCGUAGACCUUUUCUUCUCCUUCUUUUUAUUUUCUUACCCAUCUGACUUGUUGUUUCUUACACUACUCUACUACCAGAAGUCCGCAGGACCCUCAUCUUCAGCUACUACAGGACCUCCAGCCCGACCUCUUCCCUCUGCCGCCUCGCCAGCACCGUCGGCCGCUCGGUCUCCUACACGAGCUUCUCCUACCGCAGGUGCAGGUGCUUCUCCCGGAAUGGGGACGCGAGGAGGAAGGACCGGCGGCAGAGGUCCUCGUGGGCCUUGCCCAUCCACAGCUCGUGGUCGACCAGGUGGCGCUUGUGGGCGGCGAGGAAGGGCUGGUGGUGGCAGUGGCAGCGGCCCCCGCCCCCGCCCGGCCGCCGGAGGACCAGCGGCAGCUCCCUCACCAUGGGCUCCGCCAUCCGCCUGCGCCAGCUGCCGGCGGCCUCCUUCUGCGUCGUCGGCCGGUACCGCUCACGAAGAAAGAACCUGCUGAGGACACUAAGACACCUGCGCAACCCCCACCCGCACCCUCACCCAAGGCACCCUCCCGCGCCGCUCCACCAAAUAUGACCCUCUGCCCUAGCACCCGCCCAGCUCGGCAACCUCCAACCUCGACCCACAGAGCCCCAUCGGCAACCUGGCCCGGUCCGCCGCGUCCUGUCCCCCAGUACCUUUCCCUGUCCGCCCCCGGCGCAGGACCUGGUCGAGGGAGACAGGCGGUGAGCAGGCACAAAGAGAUAGGAAGAAGGAAAAAGGAGAAGAGGCAGCUAGAGCAGAGACUGAACCGGGGCGGCCGACCUCUCGAGUGGCACUAUUGAGCAGUUCACCAACAGCUCUGCACAUCCGACACCUCUGUGCGCCACAAACGCGACCCUGCCUCACCACCCGACAAGCAGUGCCGGUGUGCCCGUGCUGCUACGGCUCGCGCACCGGCACCCAACACUGCUAACACUGCACGGGGGCAACGCGCAACGUAGCGGUAGCGCGCGCGGGCUCAUGCGCCACGCCUAUUGUGCGGAAGUGUACAAGUCAAAUUACGAUGUUGAAAUUUUUAUGCUUUAAUA
rnacentral:rRNA from 1 species